GCCGCCGUGGUGCAGUUUGGUUAGCAUAGGAGGCUGUGGACCUCUCGAUCGUGGGUUCAAAUCCCACCGGCGGCC
rnacentral:tRNA from 1 species